AUGAAGUGGGCAUUGCGUGCCAAAGUUCUUAAGGUGGUAAAAGGGGAUGACAAUACACAAUUUUUCCAUAUGAUUGCAAAUGGCAAACAUAGGAGGAAAAAAAUCAUUCAGCUAGAACAGGAUGAGGAAACAGUUGUUGGACACGAGAAUUUGAAGCUUUAUAUCUCCAACUAUUACAAGCAGUUGUUUGGUCCUCCGAAAGAUAACACCGUGACUCUAGAUGAGAGUGUACGGGCAGAUAUCCCUCAGCUGCAGCAGAGGAGAAUGAGAUCCUGUCUGCUCCUUUUACUGAGAAGGAGGUGUUCGAGGCGAUAG
rnacentral:rRNA from 1 species